rnacentral:rRNA from 1 species
AACGCGAAGAACCUUACCUGGUCUUGACAUCCCAGGAGUCCUGCAGAGAUGCGGGAGUGCCUUCGGGAACCUGGAGACAGGUGCUGCAUGGCUGUCGUCAGCUCGUGUCGUGAGAUGUUGGGUUAAGUCCCGCAACGAGCGCAACCCUUGUCCUUAGUUGCCAGCACUUCGGGUGGGCACUCUAAGGAGACCGCCGGUGACAAACCGGAGGAAGGUGGGGAUGACGUCAAGUCAUCAUGGCCUUUAUGGCCAGGGCUACACACGUGCUACAAUGGCUGGUACAGAGGGCUGCCAACCCGCGAGAGGGAGCCAAUCCCAAAAAGCCAGUCGUAGUCCGGAUCGGAGUCUGCAACUCGACUCCGUGAAGUCGGAAUCGCUAGUAAUCGCGAAUCAGCAUUGUCGCGGUAAAUACGUUCCCGGGUCUUGUACACACGC